GUAUUUUGAAUUAUUUUAUUCGUAAUAUUUUUCAGACAAAGAGUUAAAGAGUUGGUUGAUGUUUGGCCGAUCUCCAUAAAGAAGAUCGACUGACAUUGCACACAAGGUGGAUAUGGAUUUAAAAAGUGCCAUAAAACACUUAUUAUGAAUGAUCCUUCCGCAGGUUCACCUACGGAAA
rnacentral:misc_RNA from 1 species